CCGAAAAGAUGCCUCCACCACCUUGUCAGUUCUAGCGCUGGCGUUUGCCUCGGUCUCCAAUUGGCUGCUCUUCAGGCCAGCCCCGCCUUACGCUCACCCACGUGACGUAUGAACGCCCCGGAUUGGCUGUCUACCCAGGGGCCGCGCUGGGCUGUGGGAUGCGGACCCAGGAGCUAGGUAGAGGGAAGAGGACGCGGGAAGCAGCCAUGGCUGAGGUCGGAGAGUCUGGGGCUUGGCUGCCAUCAGUCUCCCAGGCGAGGACGUGACUGCUGAGAGUCUGGAUCGUAGGAGGUUUAGGCGUUCGGAAAGCGGGUUGUGGAUACCUGCCUGGGCUUUUGAUUUGAGCCCUGGCUUCGGCCUUACUCCUGUUUCUCCCCGCCAAGGACGGCUUCAGUCGUUCUUGGAAUUGGCGGGGUUUGGACCUUAACUUUAUUUGAGAAUCUACUGCGUGUAAGCACGGUUGUCCUGCGGAGGGAUCUCUUCAGAGCGUGUGAGCUUGAGGGUGGGGGAAUGAGGGCUUGGAGACGCUGAGGUGUGGUCCUUACCCACGUGACACAUUGGAGGUUGAGGUGGAAAAUCUGGCUUUGAAAUCUUCGUGAAGGACUGCAUCAUUUCAAUCCUGAAUCUGAAUCAGUUCCCUUAUUGACUGUAUGAAAAAUGUUUUCAUUAACUGUGUUAUUUGUUUGGUAAAACCUUGGAGGUUUUAUAAAUUAAAAAAAAUAUAUGUA